rnacentral:lncRNA from 1 species
GGGAUUACGGAGAUCUGGUGAAAUUGAUCGAGUUGUCGCAGAGUUAUCCUGGUUGUGUUAAUCCAGCUUCGUAGUGCAGGCCUCUGGACCACAGACACAAACACACACAGAGUUAAUUUUAUGUCAAAAAGGGAAAUAAAAUGUUUGUGUUCAUGUUCGAAAUGUUAAUAAAAUUUGGUUUGAAUAUAAAAUUUGCAUGAAAUUAAUUGUUCAUAGGUCUCUUUGAAUUGAUUUUUAAUGAUACAAGGUCUUCAAGUCAUUUGGCGCGACCACCAAUCAUGUGGUGCAACCAAUAAUAACAUUUCUACUAGGCCUGCACGAUAUAUCGUUUCAGCAUCGUCAUCGCGAUGUACAUGUGUGCGAUAGUCACAUUGCAGAGCCUGCGAUGUCGGAGGUGAAUGAACUCAGUUAAUUUCAAGGGUAGCCGACUGAGACACACUGCAUGUGACUCUGCAUGUGCUGUGCAGCGAUCCACCAUUCACCUUCUUUCUUUACUCAGUUGCCAAUCAGACUCAGUUCUCAGUUGCCAAUCAGACUACCCUGCCAGCUGUCAAUCAAAAUCAGAGAGGAGGAAACCCACCCCUGCACAUGUUCUGCACAUGGAGUGAGACGCCUGUCCGCUGAGAAUUACUUUCGGAACAUUCUUCAUCACUGUUUAGCCCAACAAAUAAGUAUGGGUUUUAAAUUGUACAUUUCCGUGGACCACUCUACUAUAAGCAGUGCGCGUUUUGUGAGGUGCAUGCAAUUCUCGGAGGACAUGGGUUUCUCGGCACAACCCCGUUGACAACAAAAACAACGAUCGCAAACUGAGCAACAAAAACAGAGAAAACCACAGAAGAUGAAGAUUUGUUGCCAAAAAGAAAAGGAAAGUCAGUUUUCUUGAAUUAUUUCAGUUACAAGAUGGAUAAUGUCGACCAAAACACGUUCUGUGUUCAUCUGUUGCCACAAUAACGUCCCAGAACAAUAAAAGCUAAAAAUAUCUCUGAGACAGACAUAAGCCAUUCUAACAUUCACAAAAAGAGGUAAGAUCAGAGCAGGUUAACUGUCCUCAAGAUUUCAGCAGUGCAGCAUAACAUUAAGUGCUAUUCAGGUCAUCUGGUAAAAAUUCCUGUAUUUUUUAAUAUCGCAAUAUAUAUCGCAGGGUUGAAAAAAAUUGCAAUGUUAAUUUUUUCUAAUAUCGUGCAGCCUUAAUUUCUACACAAGUUCUUCUUGUUCUCCACCUCUAACAGUUUUAAUAUUUUUACUUUUCUUCUUUUGUAGAAGUUCUGCGUGGCUGUUUCAGCAUUCAGCAUUUCCAUGCAUUUUCUGCAAGGAAAUGCAAUUUUUCUAUUUUUAGUUGAUAUUCCUGUCGACCAUUUUUAUUCUUCCGCUAAUUUUUGCCACUUUUCAACUUCUUCCCACUUUGUCAAUAUUUAAAACUUGAUAUUAAUGCACUCCUUAAGGACACGAUAACUAUUACUUUUCACCUUCAUACCAUUUAUACUUUUUGCAAUAUUUCACUUUUUCUGUACCAUAAGAAAUAAUCAUGAGAGUGCAAGAAGAUGGUCUUAAGAUGGUCUUAUUUUCAUGAUACCACUUAAGUUCAGAUGGUAUCCACUUCAUCCAUGAUUAGAGCACUUCUUAUGUGUUGUGUGCUUGUGAAUUAUUAACACGCUGUCCACAUGCAAGAGGCCAUCUAAUGGUGUGCUUCAGUUUGAUGAGACAGUACCUGAAGCACACUAUAGGGUAGUGUUAUGCAUCUACCAGUAACUAUGGUUACAUGCUGCUGACUGCAAACCUCUUUUGAAUAUUUCCACAUUUCAUGGGGAGUUUUUAAUACAUAAAUUUCUAGGCACAUUAUUUCUGUUUAUUCACAUAAGACAUACAAAUUUGGCAUUUAAACAUUCAUACAAGUAUUUGAACUUCAGGGGCUCUAUUUUCGUGUCUGCUGGCAAUAUGGCGGAGGGUGGCGGACCCCGCGCAGUGGUAUUUUCGUCUGGCGGAGCCUGGUGUACAGCCAGUUUGGUAUUUUCGUGGACUGAGGCGCACCAAGGUCCGCCAAGCUGGGCGUGGUGGCGUGGCAGGGGGAGGUGUCGACAGAAUCAGCUGGCGCAGUGACAUUUUCGUGCUCGCCUCCGGCGUGUAAAGUGCGCUGAAAUCUCGCUGUAUCAAACCUGGUCAGCUUUCAGCGCAGGCGGAGCGCAGCUAGUCCAGUGGUAUUUUGGUAGACUGGCAGCGUAUCGGCAUACGUCACCAAUGCCUCACCGGCAGGUUUCCACAGUGUCAGGCACAUUUCAGUGCAAUAGAUAAACAACAACAACAAAAAAUCUGAGUCAGCACAUACAUUUAGAUCUAUAUAUUCUGAUCUUUAUCUGAUCUGAAGAGCGCCUUUGGCACGCUUUUAGACACUCAACCUAACCAGAUUAACACAAUUGAAACAGCAUUUAAUUAAAUUGAAAUAAAUAUCUAGUAAACACACAUGAUGAAGUUAACAAGAUAUAUAAUUCGUCUCCCUCCUUUUCUUUCUUCCUCGUCCUCUUAUUUCUCGCGCAGUUCGACCUGGACAUGUCUCCAUGUCCUCUCCCCGUCCUGCUGCAGCUGCUGAACAGAUGAUUUGUUUCAGUGAUCAGAUGAGUUAUUUACUUUAAGCCUACAUAUUAAUAUUAUAAUAGUCAGUUUUGUGAGCCCAAUUUAUUUUAUAUGCCAACAUCAAUGAAAAAAAGAGACAGACCACGGAGCGCAAUGCGUCAUUUACGCACAGAUGGUUCCGAUUUUAAUGCCAUUAUUGGAAUUUAUGUUGUGAUCUGUGCGUACAACCCACCUUUGUCACGUAAGGUUUAAAUAUAUGCAACUUUAUGUGAGCGUCUUUAUUUGUGGAAAAGGGUGUUUGCCUUACCAGUGGGUACAACCUUACACACACCAAAUCCAUCCUUGCUUAUAUGAGACAGUGUGCAGGACACCCUCUGCAGCUCUUACAGCGACACUUAUUGAGGGGCUGCCUUCUGUUGCCAUCGUGUGGCAUUGCUGUCUUCACACAUCUCUUUUUGUCUUUGACUACUUCACGAAAAUUGUAAUACGCCUCGCCCGUGGCGGAUUUAAAGGCGAGGAUAGGAGCUUAUGUUAUUGGUCAAAACAGGUCUCGGCUGUGUUAAACCCACUCCACGCCCUCUCCCCUCCCUACCUACCUCUUACUCCGCUGGGAGGAGCUAAGUUAGGGAGGGGGACACUUGCGCCGUGCUGCUACACUCACCAAAAUACCAGAUUGUGCUUGGGAACGCCUUGUCGGCGCGGCGGACCUGACUUACACCGCGUCUGCGCCAUGUUGCCUUAUUUAUCAACCGUGCAUAGAAAAGGUCCUAAAUUCUGAUGUGGGAAUGAAAUUUAGAAUGUGCAUAAGUACAAAAAAAUCUGUAUUUAUCAAACAUUCGGACACCGGUCGUACGCAUACAUGUAAGUAAUCGGUGAUGAUAAAUCCCACCUGUUCUUUACUAUGGUGCUUGUGCAUGGUUAGGGUCUUUUGCAUUCAGAAAUGCCUCCAGUUGACCAUAUAUGGUAUCAACAAUCCCUUUAAAAAUGCGUGAAUGGAUUUUUUCCCCCUUGACAAAAUCAUGGAGGUGCACACUCACAGAGCUGUUCUGCAGAAUGAAUGAGUCGUGCGUUCCUCCAGGCCACCAGGCAACAAUGUUUAACAGAUACAUAUGUGCAUCGCAGAUUAUUUGUGCAUUGAUUGAACGAAAUCCUUAUCUAUUAGCAUAACUGAAUUUAUAUUGUGAAGAUGCUUUUAUUGCGACGUGGGUGCAAUCUAUGGCUCCAAUUAUGUUUGGGAAUCCAGCAAUGGCGUGAAAUCCUUGUUUUAUUUCGGCUUGUUGGUGAUGUGUGUAUGGGAACUGGACAUAAGUUGAGGCCAGAGAAAUUAUUGCAUCCAACUCUGCCGGCAUGAUUCUGCUUAGCGUUGGCUGCAAAAUGUCGUUUAUUUCUUCAAUCUUAUGCUGAAUUGUUCCGGUGGCCAAAAAUCCCAGGGUGGACAUUAACUGGAUGUGCACUGGGAUGGCUUUGGAGCGUUUUGUCUCUCACUCCAACACGGGUAGUAAAUCCCAUUAAAUUAUCCCACAUGGGUAGUAAAUCCAUUAAAAUGUUUUUGGGGAAGCGGUACCUGCUGAGAGUCAGCUCUGUUUUCUCACUGAACGGAUCAGCACGGUCUUUAAAAACGCGCUUCCUGCGGAGCAUACGUUCUCCAAGUCCUCUAAUAGUGCAAAAUAAGCCGUGAUACUUGUAUUUGUACUUGUAAGACUUAAUUUGAGGUUGUCCUGUCACAGCUGAUUUUCAUAGCUUGUCACAACAAUCAUUCAAAAUGUCUGCUAAAUAACUAUUUGAUAAAUUUUGUACAGAGGCAACAGAGAACACGUGUGUAUUUUGAGAUAGCUGAAUGCUGUUUCUCCUUGAAUGGGUUCUAUUUGUAGUUUCACUGUUCUACCACUAAAUUUUAUGUGUACACAUGGUCAGAGUUUACGCAUGUUCCUUAGCACAAUUACAUGUUGAUAAAUUCCACACAUCUGUGCGUGGGAUUGUUCAUAUGCAUUCAGUACGCACACAUCUGUGUGUACACAUGGUUGAUAAAUGAGGCCUCACUAACGGUUUUCUACAUUUCAAUGUAGGGCAGUCACUGAGGCCAACCACAAGAUGGUGCUAUCAUACCAUAAUUAAAAAUUAGUAUAGUUACAUGCUGCUGACUGCAAACAUCUUUUGAGUAUUCACACAUGGAGCGGGGCCAUUGUUUUGCAUAGGCAUUAGUUUUACUAAAGCACUAAUCCUCAUCUCUGUUUAUUUACAACACUCAUACAAUUUUUUUUUACUUAAGGUUAUCAAAAAUGUCUGCAUAUAUGACACUUCUCCAACUGCUUCUUUUCUACAACUUAAUGCAUGUUUAACUGCAGCUAUUCUAAAAUUUCUACAUAAUUUCUUCUUGUUCUCCACCUCUUCAACAGUUCAAACAUUUUUGCUUUUCUUCUUUUGUAGCAGUUCUGCAUGGCUGUUUCAGCAUUCAGCAUUUCCAUGCAUUUUCUGCAAGGAAAUGCAAUUUUUGUAGUUGUCGUAUAUAUUCCUGUCGGUCGUUUUUAUUCUUCUGCCAAUUUUGCUACUUUUUUUCAUCUUCCCACUUUGUGCUAUUUCAACCUUUCAAACUUUAUAGUAAUGCACUCCUUCAGUGUCAUUUAUUACAUAGGUGUUGUGUUACACAGAGGAGGGCCUAAGAUUUUAAAAUUUUGUAAGGGUUGUGGCCACCCGAUUUGUCCCGGAAACACGUUUUGUACUUAGUAACCUUUAUUUAACCAGGAAAUAAACCCAUUGAGAUUCAGAAUCUCUUUUACAAGGGAGUCCUGGCCAGGAUAGCAGCACAAGAAGUUCCACAUUAAAAAAAAAAAAAAAAAAAAAACACGCAGAAAAACAAAACAGUUACAGUAUGCAAACACAACAAUAAAUCAGCGUUUUAGUAAGAGGACGUGCAUUCAGUACUCAAAAACUCUUUAAGAGGACGUGCAUUCAGUACUCAAAAACUCCUUAAUUCUAGUUUUAAAAUGUUCCAUACUUGGCAGAUAAUCCAAUUUAAAAUAACCCUGUAAAUUACACCAGGAGGAGGGUGCAAAAGCCUUGAAAGCGCUUUCACCAAAAACCGUCCUUGUCUGAGGAAUAGCGUACAUGAUCUAUCCAUCAGACCGGAGAUUACUCCUGUUGGUGAUUUUAGGAGUUAAGAGGGAACAUAGGUAAGAGGGCAAGUCACCUAGAAUGGCCUUGUAAAGAAAGAUAUACCAAUGUUCCAAUCUACGAUUUUGCAGAGAGGACCAACCAACACUCUCAUAUAAGCUGCAGUGAUGAGUAUGAAAAUCUAAGCCAGUUACAAAUCUUCAUGCUGCAUGAUACACUGAGUCCAGUAUUUUAAAAAAAGAGAGAUUUGUAUGCAUGUAUAAAAGUCCCCAUAAUCAAGUAUGGAUAAAAACGUUGCCUGUAUAAGCCUUUUUCUUGCACCAAAGGAGAAACAACCCUUGUUUCUAUAGAAGAAACCCAGUUUCACCCAGAGUUUCUUUGUAAGACACUCAAUAUGGUGCCUAAAGGACAAAUUUUCUUCCAAGUGAAAUCCCAGGUAUUUGUAGACAGAAACUCAUUCAACUAAUUUCUCAUUUAGAGUAACAAUCUGACAGACGUCAUCUGAUUUCAGUGAUUUUGAAAAGCACAUCAUUUUAGUCUUGUCAGUAUUGAGUACAAGUCUUAAUUGAUAGAGAUUUUUUUUUUUAUUGGUAUUUUAUAUUUGUUUUUUAUCUACCUAUGUAUUUUAUAUUUGUUUUUAUUUAUGGUGUAUUUGUACCUCAAUUUUACUUUGCUGUAUUUUAAUCUUGUAUUCUGUGUUUUUGAUUAUAUUGUUUACUGUUUGUUUUAUGUAUUUCGCUGUGUCUUAUUGACCUGUAAAGCACUUUGGUCAGCUUCGGUUGUUUUUAAAGUGCUCUAUAAAUAAAGUUUGAUUUGAGUUGAGUUGAGUUGAGCUAAUGAUGGAGCUGAACAAUACAAAACAGUGUCAUCUGCAUAGAAGUGGAAAUUGGCAUCAGUUACAUUUUGACAUAAUGCAUUAAUAUAAAUAGUAAAUAAAAUAGGACCCAGUAUGGACCCCUGAGGGACACCGUUUCGAAUAGACAAGCAGUUGGAACACAGACCAUCAACCUGAACCCUUUGUGUUCUGCCACUCAAGUAGUUACCAAACCAUUUCACCGUAUUAGUAGACAUUCCAAUAUCCUCCAAUCUCUGGGACAAGACAGAGUGGUCGACCGUGUCAAAAGCCUUUGACAGAUCUAGGAACAAAGCAACACAAUGUUCUUUAGAGUCAAUAGAACAAAUGAAAUCAUUUAACACUUUCAUCAGGCAGUGACUGUGCUGUGUUUUUUAGGGAAACCAGACUGUAAUUCAUUUAAAAUGCUAUUUGAUGUCAAGAAAUUUUUCAGCUGAUCACUUAUAAGUCCUUCCAAGACCUUGGCCAAAAUAGGUAAUUUGGAUAUCGGCCUAUAAUUAUUGGGAUUAGACCGGUCAACACCCUUCAGUAAAGGAGUGACAUAUGCUGACUUCCAAAUGCUAGGUAUUAUCCCAGUUUCUAUAGUCCAAUUGAAAACAUAAGUCAAGGGGACUUCAAUAUGCUCAGUAGCAAGUUUUAAAAAGAAAGGACCCAACCCAUCAGGACCGGGGGAUUUCUUGGCAUUUAACCUUGAGAGAGAGUCAUAUAUCUCAUCUCUAGACAAAGGUGCAAGAUCAAAAUCAAAAGGUAGAUUUUCCCUGGACAAUGAGUGAUCCUGUUGACUCACCACUUGUGGUAUGUCCUGCUCAAACAACAACCCAGAAGAUAUAAAGUGCUGGUUCAAAGAAUCUAGCAUACUUUUCUUGUCUGUAAUGGUCUCAUCAUUCAACUUUAAUGUAUUUGGCAGCACAGUAUCCUUUGACCCUGAAGACAGUGAUUUAAUCAGUUUCCAGAAUUUAGAAGGGUUGUUUGCACUGUCACAAAUUUUAUUAAGAUAAAAAUCGGCUUUGGCUUAACUAGGCCUGUCGCGAUAAUCAAUAAAUCGCCGUAUCGCUCGGUAAAUAAAAACGAGGUCGGUCAUUUUGCCAGCCUCGAUAAUUAACGUGCGUUUGUUUUCCUCCUCUCUCGCUACCAAACACGCUGGAUGAGAGAAGAGGUCUCACUCUGAGCAUUGUUCUCGGCACCUGGGGGCGUUGGCUCUAUAGCAGAAUGAACGGAGUUAGUGAACCCUCCUGUCAGUCAUUCAGUAUCUUUGUCACGGGGGGGGGGCGCGCGCACAGGUACACGUAAUGGGGCACAGGCACACAGACACAGACUUUUGGAUACAGUGCUGCAAGUGAGCGUCGUGAGUGAAAAGCAAGCAAACAGAAUGAACACGACAGCUUUGGUGUCUAAACCGAACGCAACAGCCCAAGUGUGGGAAUAUUUCGGCUUUGAACCAAAUGAAAGGUGAGCCCACAAAUACGGACGAGCCGAUAUGUUGUAUUUGUCCCAAAAUUGUGGUGACAAAGAAGGGGAAUACGACGAACAUGCAUGCGCACCUCAAGCACAAUCAUCCCCUCCAUUUUUCCCAACUGAGCAAAAAAAGUACCGCCGGAGGUGCUGCAGAGCCAUCGUCCCGACAGGUACCGUUUACUGAAGCGUUUGGCAAGCAAAGCAAAUAUAAACAAAACAGUGCAAAAUGGUGCGCGCUGACAGACAGCGGAAAUUGAAGUUUAUCACUUUUGGCAUGGUGUACUCGCAUUAUUAUGCCAUAUAUUAUCAUUUUCUAUAAUUUAAAAAACGGUGUCAAUAAUAUCGUUUAUCGGCAAUAAUUUGUAGCACAAUUAUCGUCCAGCAAAAUUUGUUAUCGUGACAGGCCUAGGCUUUACGUAUCUGAGAGACACACUUGUUCCUCAGGUGGCUAAAAAGUUGCCAGUCUGAGCUUUUUUGGAUAUUCUUGCAGUUGCCCUGGCAAGAUCUUGUUUAUGAAUUAGAUCAGACAGUUGCUCUGAAAACCAUGGAUUAUCACGACCUUUAAUCUUGUAUUUUCUGAGAGGAGCAUGUUUGUCUAUAAUGUCCAAAAAUAAGGAAUUAAAAUACUGUAAAGCUGUCUCAGCAUCUGGAAUCAAAUUUACCCUGGUCCAAUCACAUAGAUAUAUGUCAUUUAAAAAGGCUUGUUCGGAAAAUGACUUAAAAUUACGCCUAAUUAUGAUACACUUUGAUAACUUUGUGUCUCUCACACAAGCAAUAAUGCAGUGAUCACUAACAUCAUUUGCAAACACAGCGGUAGCCUGGUAUUUUUGGGGAAAAUUGGUUAAAAUCAAGUCAAGGAGUGUCGACUUCUCAGGGCGUUUAGGGUUUGGCCUAGUUGGUGAGUCAAUAAUUUGAGCCAAAAGGGCUGAGUCACAGAAACAUUUAAAAGAAUCAGAAGCAGGGGUUAACCAAUCCCAAUUUAAAUCCCCCAUUAAAAGCAGAUCAUUGUAGUUAAUAGUUGAUAAGCAGUCAGACAAUGAGAGUAGUGUAUCCUUUAAGGCAGAAGGAGGUCUAUAACAUCCCCCUACUGUCAUAACACAGCUCUUCGUAAAUUCAACUUUCAAGACAAGCAAUUCAAAUUGUUUAGGCACAGACUUGGAUAAUUGUACUGUUGCCUGAAAUGUAUUUUUAACAUAAAUUGCUACACCUCCACCUUUGGCACAGCGAUCAGCAUCCAAAUAAAUAUGACUAUCAGGCGUAGAUCUACUCAGCCAUGUCUCAGAUAAAAACAUAAUGUCAGCACUUGUUGAUUUGGCCCAAAUUCUAGCCAUAUCAAUUUUGGGCAAAAGACUUCUCACAUUCAUAUACAAAACCAAUACCAGACCUAUUCAAAAAUUCAGCAGGGGUUUGUAGUGAUAACACAUCAGACACAGGGCCUGGGUUAGGCUGAACAUUCCUCGAUAUCAACAAGCAUGAUCAUACAUUUCAACAUAUGUGUUUCAUGAAAAUGCUUCUUGAUUUUCUUACAGACAUCAUUCAUCGUAACAGGCUGAGAGUCAUUUGAUGGGAUAAAGCAGUCCUUUAGGAGAAGAAGGCUUAAAAGAUAAUUAAAGUUUAUAUGCUUUGAAACCUGGCUCAUUUCAAGCAUCGAGCACCCUUGAUUGAUAUCAAAGUCCUGCGCCCAGCUAGUAACCUUUGACCGUGAUGACAUACAAAGAAAGCACAGGCAGGAGGGCGAGAAUUAUACUCGCCAUGAUUCAGAUUCAGAUUCAGAUUCCUUUAUUAGCCAUUGUGUAAAACACAUAGGAAUUUGCUUUGGCAAUAGCAUGAGAGUGUUCGGAUGUUUUUUCACAGAUAACAUAAAACACAAACAACACGAAAAAUAGAUAAAUAUAAAGUGCAGUAGGAUCAAUAGUGCAGAUGUAGUUCAGUGUCAAAGUCCCUAGUGGGCGGGGUGAGGAGGGAAGCCAGACUCAUUGAGCAGCCUGGCAGCAGAGGGGAAAAAACUGAGUCUAUGGCGUGCUGUGGUGGCCUUCUGCAGCUGCAUCCUUCUCCCAGAGGGAAGCAGGGAGAGGAGACUGUGGCCAGGGUGGGAGGGGUUGGCCAUGAUUUUUCUUGCCCUCCUCAGCGCCCUGGAGUUGUGCAGGGACUUGAGGGAGGGCAGCGGGCGGCCAAUCACCCUCUCCGCUGAACGAAUCACCCUCUGCAGCUUGAUAAGGUCUCUUGCAGCUGCAGCAGGGAACCAGGUGAUGAUGGAGUGGGUGAGGAUGGACUCAAUGAUGGCCGUGUAAAACUGAGUCAUCAUGGUCCUUGAUAGUCUGUACUUCCUCAGCUGCCUUAGGAAAAACAGUCUCUGCUGGGCCUUUUUCAAAAGGGACAUGAUGUUAAUUUCCCACUUCAGGUCCCGGGAGAUGGUGACGCCCAGGAGCUUAAAGGACUACACAGAGUUUACCAGGGUGCCUCCCAGCGUGAUGGGAGGGGGAGGGGCUGUGUUCUUGUGGAAAUUCACCACCAUCUCCACUGUCUUUUGGGGAUUAAGGUCCAGGUUGUUGCUACUGCACCAACUGCGCAGCCGCUCGAUCUCCCUCCUGUAGGCCGACUCGUCCCCCUUGGAGAUGAGGCCCACCAAGGUAGUGUCAUCGGCAAACUUGAGGAGCUUGACCGACGGGUGGAGAGAGACACAGGUGUUGGUGUACAGGGAGAACAGUAGCGGGGACAGGACACAGCCCUGCGGGGAACCGGUGCUGGUGGACCUGGAGCUGGAAAUGCUUUUCCCCAGCUUCACCCGCUGAGACCUGUUGGUCAGAAAGUCUGUAAUCCACUUGCAGGUGGAGGCAGGCACUUGCAGCAGGGACAGCUGGUGCUCCAGGAUGGAUGGUAGGAUGGUGUUGAAGGCUGAACUGAAGUCGACGAACAGGAUCCUGGCAUAGUUGCCGGCAGUGUCCAGAUGGUUUAAGAUGAAGUGCAGAGCCAUGUUCACGGUGUCCUCUGUGGAUCUAUUGGCUCUGUACGCAAACUGCAACGGGUCAAGCACAGGAUUAGUGAUGCGCUUCAGGUGAGCCAGGACAAGGCGCUCCAUGACCUUCAUGACCACAGAGGUCAGGGCGACAGGUCUAUAGUCAUUGAGGCCUGUGACCUUGGCCUUCUUGGGGAUGGGGAUGAUAGUUGAGGCCUUAAAACAUGCUGGGACAUGACACAGCUCCAGAGAGGUGUCGAAGAUGUUGGUGAACACCGGGGCGAGCUGGUCAGCACAGUGCUUCAGGACAGAGGGGGAGACAGAAUCCGGUCCGGGCGCCUUCCGGGGGUUCUGGCUCCUGAGCAGCAGAUUCACCUCUCUCACUGUGACAGAAAGAGGGGGUGGAGGGGGCGAGGAGGGGGGCCCACUUAGAUACGGGCAUAGUGAUUGUGGCCGGGGGGUUGGAGGGAGGGGGCGAGGGGGACCUCUCUCUCAAAUCUGCAGUAGAACUCAUUGAGCUCGUUCGCAAGGGGGAGGUUGUCAGACGCUUGUGGCGACUUCGGCUUGUAGUUGGUGAUGGACCUAAGGCCCUUCCAGACUGAGGAGGAGUUCCCCUCAGAGAGCUGCUGCUUUAGUUUCUCUGAGAAGCGAUGUCUCGCCUCCCUCACCGUUUUGGCAAACCUGUACUUGGCUUUCCUGAACAGAGCCACGUCUCCACUGCGCCUUGCCACCUCCUUCUCGGACCUGAGCCUCCUAAGAUGGGCUGAAAACCAGGGCUUGUCGUUGUUGAAGAUCUUCCUGGAGCGCAGAGGAGCACACACCCUCUUAACUGAGGCUAAUGAAUGAUGUCACAGUGUCCGUGUGUUCAUCCAGGCUGUUUCCAGCCUCAGGCCCCGCCCACUCAACGAAGUCCUAGUCACAGCCUGCAUUCUCCAGCCAGGCACAAAGUCUCUCCUUUGCCUCACUGGACCACACUCUGAAGCUCCGCACUACAGGUUUUGAUAAUUUUAAUCUCUGCCUGUAGCAAGGGAUCAGAUGGAUGAGAUGGUGAUCUCCUUUGCCCAGCGCAGCACGGGGGAAAGAAUGAUAUGCUUGCCGAGUAGUGUAAUAGCAGUGGUCAAGAGUGUUCCCACCCCUAGUAGCACAUGUGACUUGCUGUCUGUAUUUGUGGAGAGCCCGGCUAAGGUGCGCCUGGUUGAAGUCCCCAAGCACCACAGGAAAACUGUCCGGGUGUUUAUGUUCCGCCCCCGACAGCUGUUCGGCCAGUGUGUCCACUGCUGCAGUGACGUCAGCAUCCGGAGGAAUGUAAACACACACGAGGAUGAACGCAUGGAACUCACGGGGGGAAUAGAAUGGGCGACAGAGAAUGAAGAGCGAUUCAAUGUUAAUAGAACAGUGUUGUUGCAACACUGUCACGUCAGAACACCAGCGAUCGUUCACAAAGAACUUUCCUACCGCCUCGAAGUCUCUGUCAGCACGUCACGCAGAGAAGCCUUCCAACUGCCCCGUCCGGGUCUGUCGGCUUCAGAUGUGUCUCCACGAACGCGAAAACAGCGGUGGAUUUGAAGUCAUUAUCCCUCGAGACUAGUAGCCGGAGUUCCUUCAUUUUAUUAGGCAGGGAAUUCACGUUACACAGGAAUAUACCCGGGAGUGAUGGACGCGAUCCUCCUCUCUUCCCCCGUUGUCUUCUGGUCCAACGCACUGGCAAAGACCGCUGUCCCUCUCACCAGAAUAUCCAAUAUAUCCGUGGAACGGGUGAGUAAUGUUGGUAAGAUGUCCGGUGGGGUAGAACACCCAAUGUGCAGUAGCUCUUCUUUAGUGUAAGAAGACACGUAAACAAUACACAGACAGAACACAACACACGUCGAUACCAUAGCAGCCAUGGGCGGCGCCAUCUUGGAUUCACCCAGCUUGACGUUAACUCAGCUGCAAGGCAGGAUGGGUGAAAUAGGCCUCAGCUGCAGAGCUGGGUAGUAGGCCUCAGGCUGCAGGGCUGGGUGGAUGAGGUAGGCCUCAGGCUGCAGAGCAGGGUGGAUGAGGUAGGCCUCAGGCUGCAGAGCAGGGUGGAUGAGGUAGGCCUCAGGCUGCAGGGCUAGAUGGAUGAGGUUGGCCUAAGGCUGCAGAGCAGGGUGGAUGAGGUAGGCUUCAGGCUGCAGGGCUGGUUGGAUGAGGUCGGCCUCAGGCUGCAGAGCAGGGUGGAUGAGGUAGGCCUCAGGCUACUGAGCUUUUCUUGUUGUGGGUACUGCUGCAGAUCUUGGCUGCAAUCUAGCCACACUUUAGCAGCUCCCAUAGUCUUGAGUAGGUUUUAAAGGCUAACAGGUGGCCUAUGGAGUAGCCAAACAAAGUAGAGCAGAGUUGUUUCCCAAAGGAAAAUGCCAAAAUCCACAACCUUGAUGCAAUCUUUAAGUAAACUAGAACACUGAAUAGUCCACAAUGGAAAAAUACUAUCUAAGUAUUAUAAAAUCCAAAAGGAAACAUUAAAAACAGACAAACACUGAGCAGAGACUGAACAGAGACACCACACAUGCUGCCAUCUUGCGCAUGUGCAAAACAGACGUCACUUCCUCUGCUAGCCAUCUUUGCGACAGCUCAGCAAUUAUUUGCUCCUAGCAGUUUGCGACAGCUUUGACACUAUUUUGGCAGCAUCAGCGAGCCCGCUUCAGAAUGGAGGCGUCAAUUUAUCAACAGCUACAGGCCUUUCUCCUGAUUGGAGUGCUUCCCCCAACUGAAGCAGAAUGGCUCACAGUUUCUACAAAGUUUCCACCACUAACUUAAUUUUAAAAUUGUAACGUGAAAGGCUUGAAUGAAUGUUACUAUUUUUUUUUGUUGCCCAGCAGUCUGUUGUUUAUUUCAGAGUCCGUUGUUUAUUUCUUUUUAUGUUUUGUAAAUAUUUUUUGCAAUCAAUCCUGUGUCAUGUCCUCAGCACAUUGCAAUUUUAAGCUGAUCAUAACACAUUACAGGUAUAGAUAGAUAGAUAGAAAGAUCACACUAAGGCUUCACGAUAUAACAGUAUGUUUCCUCUAAACGAUAGAAAAUUUCUAUCGGGAUACAUGAGCUCUAUCAUUUCUAUCGCAGUGUCGCAAAAACACGCUUUACGGCAGUGUUUUACGUUGUGACGCUCCAUAUAUGGCAUGCCCACACGCGCUACUGCCAAUGUGAAAAACACAAGCAUGGAGGGGCCGGGUGAUUGUGGCGCAAGAGACGACAAUUCUCAUGCAUCUAAUGCAGACGAGCCAACGCAGAUGGAGGAGCUGCUGCCGAAACGGGGGCAACGUCGGUUGUGUGGUCUUGGUUUGGUUUUAAAAGAAGCGACACGGAGCAGACCGCUGUAGUUUUAUUCUGAGUCAGUACAUGUAGAUAUAUAUCGAUAUAUUAUGAUGUAUAUCUGAUCUGAUAAGCGUGUUUGGCACGGGUUUGGACACUCCACCUGACCGAAUUAACACAGCUGAAACCGCAUUAAAUUAAAUAUCCAGUAAACAGUCACACAUGAUGAAGUUAACAAGAUACUUAAUUCUUCUCCCCGCUUAUCCUCCUUCUUCCUUGCGCAGCUUGACAGGUGUUAUGCCGUAGCAUGCACCCCUGAAUCCCAUCGACUCAUUAGCUUCUUAAAGUGGAAAAAAUUAUCUCAUAUUUAAAAAAAACACGAGUAUUGGAUCAUGACAACAUGUCAAAUGGAGCAGCAAACUUUCGUUCUGUUUGUAGGUAUUUAAAAAAUGCACAUACAGAGGUGUACUUGGGUAUUUAAACUAUGCUGUGUAGGUAGAGAACAUAUUUGCGGGGCAGCAAAUAUUUCGAAUCAGAGGGCGAUUGUUUUUGGCAUAUCUGAAUAGCCAGAAUGAAAUCAUUAAAGGCACACGCUCUAGAAUCAGUCCAAUGGUAAGAAAAACUUGGAUUAUUCCGCCUUGUUGUGUACUUUCAAUCGCGCUCCUGUCAGGGGGGGCUUUGACGGCAGGGUUGCAUUCUAUGGCACAACACCUGACGUGUCUUUGUGUCCUCUCUCCGUCCUGCUGCACCUGCUGCUGUUGUGGCGGCUGAACAGAUGAUUUGUUUCAGUGAUC